rnacentral:rRNA from 1 species
GCUUAACACAUGCAAGUCGAGGGGCAUCAGGAAGAAAGCUUGCUUUCUUUGCUGGCGACCGGCGCACGGGUGAGUAACACGUAUCCAACCUGCCCUUUACUCGGGGAUAGCCUUUCGAAAGAAAGAUUAAUACCCGAUAGCAUAAUGAUUCCGCAUGGUUUCAUUAUUAAAGGAUUCCGGUAAAGGAUGGGGAUGCGUUCCAUUAGGUUGUUGGUGGGGUAACGGCCCACCAAGCCUUCGAUGGAUAGGGGUUCUGAGAGGAAGGUCCCCCACAUUGGAACUGAGACACGGUCCAAACUCCUACGGGAGGCAGCAGUGAGGAAUAUUGGUCAAUGGGCGCUAGCCUGAACCAGCCAAGUAGCGUGAAGGAUGAAGGCUCUAUGGGUCGUAAACUUCUUUUAUAUAAGAAUAAAGUGCAGUAUGUAUACUGUUUUGUAUGUAUUAUAUGAAUAAGGAUCGGCUAACUCCGUGCCAGCAGCCGCGGUAAUACGGAGGAUCCGAGCGUUAUCCGGAUUUAUUGGGUUUAAAGGGAGCGUAGGUGGACUGGUAAGUCAGUUGUGAAAGUUUGCGGCUCAACCGUAAAAUUGCAGUUGAUACUGUCAGUCUUGAGUACAGUAGAGGUGGGCGGAAUUCGUGGUGUAGCGGUGAAAUGCUUAGAUAUCACGAAGAACUCCGAUUGCGAAGGCAGCUCACUGGACUGCAACUGACACUGAUGCUCGAAAGUGUGGGUAUCAAACAGGAUUAGAUACCCUGGUAGUCCACACAGUAAACGAUGAAUACUCGCUGUUUGCGAUAUACAGUAAGCGGCCAAGCGAAAGCAUUAAGUAUUCCACCUGGGGAGUACGCCGGCAACGGUGAAACUCAAAGGAAUUGACGGGGGCCCGCACAAGCGGAGGAACAUGUGGUUUAAUUCGAUGAUACGCGAGGAACCUUACCCGGGCUUAAAUUGCAGUGGAAUGAUGUGGAAACAUGUCAGUGAGCAAUCACCGCUGUGAAGGUGCUGCAUGGUUGUCGUCAGCUCGUGCCGUGAGGUGUCGGCUUAAGUGCCAUAACGAGCGCAACCCUUAUCUUUAGUUACUAACAGGUCAUGCUGAGGACUCUAGAGAGACUGCCGUCGUAAGAUGUGAGGAAGGUGGGGAUGACGUCAAAUCAGCACGGCCCUUACGUCCGGGGCUACACACGUGUUACAAUGGGGGGUACAGAAGGCAGCUAGCGGGUGACCGUAUGCUAAUCCCAAAAGCCUCUCUCAGUUCGGAUCGAAGUCUGCAACCCGACUUCGUGAAGCUGGAUUCGCUAGUAAUCGCGCAUCAGCCACGGCGCGGUGAAUACGUUCCCGGGCCUUGUACACACCGCCCGUCAAGCCAUGGGAGCCGGGGGUACCUGAAGUACGUAACCGCAAGGAUCGUCCUAGGGUAAAACUGGUGACUGGGGCUAAA